GGGCAGGUGGUGGAAUGGUAUACACGCAUGGCUUAGGACCAUGUGCUGCAAGGCGUGAGGGUUCAACUCCCUCCCUGCCCA
rnacentral:tRNA from 1 species